CUCGCUGGAGCGCGGUCGCGCCAUUUUAACUGUACCUACCUGUGAAGUCGAUAGCGUUACGUCCUAACUCCUAACAUCGAUGAAUAUCGUUUAAAUCAAGUUUAAAUAGUCAAAGUAUCUACCUAUUUAGUAAUUAUAAAUUUGAUUAUAAAUCAUUAUAAGUGUCAUCUUGCACCCCGAUAGGGGUCCGACCUUUGGGAUUCGAGACUGAAGAGUGCGACUCCUAGCCCCUUGAUCCUGUGCUGGAAGAGGCUGGCGGCCCGAUCACUCCCCAGGACCAUUCCAGUUUCAUCAGGCUGGACUUCCACAUGGUUCCCGUUCUCGCCGGUGCCCUUGUUCCCUGUUAAACCAGGAGAGUAACGAAAUUCCCCAAAACCAGAUCAGACACUUCGUACCCCGACCGUUAUUUUUUUAUUAUAAUAAAUUGUAAUAUCUG